UAGGGAAUCUUCCGCAAUGGACGCAAGUCUGCCGGAGCAACGCCGCGUGAGUGAAGAAGGAUCUCGGUUCGUAAAACUCUGUCGUUCGAGAAGAACAGCGCAUAGAGUAACUGUUAUGCGUGUGACGGUAUCUAACCAGAAAGCCACGGCUAACUACGUGCCAGCAGCCGCGGUAAUACGUAGGUGGCAAGCGUUGUCCGGAUUUAUUGGGCGUAAAGCGAGCGCAGGCGGUCAAUUAAGUCUGAUGUGAAAGCCCCCGGCUCAACCGGGGAGGGUCAUUGGAAACUGGUUGGCUGGAGUGCAGAAGAGGAGAGUGGAAUUCCAUGUGUAGCGGAGAAAUGCGUAGAUAUAUGGAGGAAAACCGGUGGCGAAGGCGACUAGCUGGUCAGUAACUGACGCGGAGGUUCGAAAGCGUGGGUAGCAAACAGG
rnacentral:rRNA from 1 species